rnacentral:tRNA from 1 species
ACCUGGGUGGCUCAGUCGGUUAAGCAUCUGACUUUAGCUCAGGUCAUGAUCUCAGGGUUCGUGAGUUCAAGCCCCACAGCAGGUU